rnacentral:rRNA from 1 species
AAGGUUUAUAGUUUCUUGCUAUAGCCU